rnacentral:rRNA from 1 species
AGGCGUGUGACUGCGUACCUUUUGUAUAAUGGGUCAGCGACUUAUAUUCUGUAGCAAGGUUAACCGAAUAGGGGAGCCGAAGGGAAACCGAGUCUUAACUGGGCGUUAAGUUGCAGGGUAUAGACCCGAAACCCGGUGAUCUAGCCAUGGGCAGGUUGAAGGUUGGGUAACACUAACUGGAGGACCGAACCGACUAAUGUUGAAAAAUUAGCGGAUGACUUGUGGCUGGGGGUGAAAGGCCAAUCAAACCGGGAGAUAGCUGGUUCUCCCCGAAAGCUAUUUAGGUAGCGCCUCGUGAAUUCAUCUCCGGGGGUAGAGCACUGUUUCGGCAAGGGGGUCAUCCCGA